GCUAGCUUCAACAAUGUAUAUACUAUAAUUGGAAAGAUACAGAAAAGACUAGCAGGCCCCUGAGCAAGGAUGGCCUGCAAAUUCAUGAAGAGAUCCAUACUUUU
ensembl:snRNA U6 U6 spliceosomal RNA